rnacentral:rRNA from 1 species
GUCCUACGGGGCGCAGCAGUGGGGAAUAUUGCACAAUGGGGGAAACCCUGAUGCAGCAACGCCGCGUGGGUGAAGGAGCGUUUCGGCGCGUAAAGCCCUGUCAGCGGGGAAGGAGAAAGACGGUACCUGACUAAGAAGCCCCGGCUAAAUACGUGCCAGCAGCCGCGGUAAUACGUAUGGGGCAAGCGUUAUCCGGAUUUACUGGGUGUAAAGGGAGCGUAGGCGGCCUGGCAAGCCUGAUGUGAAAUACCGGGGCCCAACCCCGGGGCUGCAUUGGGAACUGCCAGGCUGGCGUGCCGGCGAGG